rnacentral:rRNA from 1 species
GACGAACGCUGGCGGCGUGCUUAACACAUGCAAGUCGAACGGAAAGGCCCCCUUGUGGGGUACUCGAGUGGCGAACGGGUGAGUAACACGUGAGUAACCUACUCUUGACUUUGGGAUAACUUCAUGAAACUGGGGCUAAUACCGGAUAGGAGCUCCUGCUGCAUGGUGGGGGUUGGAAAGUUUCGGCGGUUGGGGAUGGACUCGCGGCUUAUCAGCUUCUUGGUGGGGUAGUGGCUCACCAAGGCUUUGACGGGUAGCCGGCCUGAGAGGGUGACCGGCCACAUUGGGACUGAGAUACGGCCCAGACUCCUACGGGAGGCAGCAGUGGGGAAUAUUGCACAAUGGGCGGAAGCCUGAUGCAGCAACGCCGCGUGCGGGAUGACGGCCUUCGGGUUGUAAACCGCUUUCGCCUGUGACGAAGCGUGAGUGACGGUAAUGGGUAAAGAAGCACCGGCUAACUACGUG